UCAAGCUACUAAGGGCAUACGGUGGAUGCCUAGGCGCCAAGAGCCGAAGAAGGACGCGGUAAGCUGCGAAAAGCCACGGGGAACUGCAAGCAAGUAUUGAUCCGUGGAUAUCCGAAUGGGGAAACCCGGCCAUCGUCAUGGAUGGUCACCCGCAAGGGAGGGAACCUGGGGAACUGAAACAUCUAAGUACCCGGAGGAAGAGAAAUCAAACGAGAUGCCCACAGUAGCGGCGAGCGAAGAGGGCAGAGCCCAAACCGAGAAGCUCCGGCUUUUCGGGGUUGAGGACCGGCAGAAUCGAAGUCAGGCCUAGUCGAAUUACCUGGAAAGGUAAGCGAGAGAGGGUAAAAGCCCCGUAGACGAAAGGCAGAGCAGAGAGGCCGAGAUCCAGAGUACCACGAAGCACGAGGAAUUUUGUGGGAAGCAGGGGGGACCACCCUCCAAGGCUAAAAACUACUUGGCGACCGAUAGCGCAUAGUACCGUGAGGGAAAGGUGAAAAGAACCCCGGGAGGGGAGUGAAAUAGUACCUGAAACCGUAUGUCUACAAGCAGUCGAAGCGAAAGCGACGGCGUGCCUAUUGAAGAAUGAACCAACGAGUUAUCUGCACUAGCGAGGUUAAGUGGAAGACACGGAGCCGCAGCGAAAGCGAGUCUUAAGAGGGCGCUAGUUAGUGUAGGUAGACCCGAAACCGCAGUGAUCUACCCAUGUCCAGGUUGAAGCGCAGGUAAAAUUGCGUGGAGGACCGAACCGGUGAGCGUUGAAAAGCUUUCGGAUGAGAUGUGGGUAGGGGUGAAAUUCCAAUCGAACGCGGAGAUAGCUGGUUCUCCCCGAAAUAGCUUUAGGGCUAGCCUGAGGUAGUAAGUAUAGGCGGUAGAGCACUGAUCGGGCUAGGGGCCGUAAAGGUUACCGAACCCUGUCAAACUCCGAAUGGAUAUACUGUAGAGCCUUGGAGUCAGACUACGAGUGAUAAGAUCCGUGGUCAAAAGGGAAACAGCCCAGACCACCAGCUAAGGUCCCCAAUGUCGUACUAAGUGGAAAAGGAUGUGGGGUUUCAUAAACAACCAGGAUGUUGGCUCAGAAGCAGCCACCAUUUAAAGAGUGCGUAAUAGCUCACUGGUCGAGAGACCCUGCGCCGAAGAUUCCCGGGGCUAAAGUACGAAACCGAAGCUGUGGCUGUAUACGUAAAGUAUACGGGGUAGGGGAGCGUUCCCAUAGGGUAGAAGUCGAACUGGAAGGUUCGGUGGACUUGUGGGAAGUGAGAAUGUUGGUAUGAGUAGCGAAAAGAAAGGUGAGAAUCCUUUCCACCGAAAGCAUAAGGAUUCCUGAGCAACGAUCGUCGUCUCAGGGUAAGUCGGGACCUAAUCCGAGGCAGAGAGCGUAGGAGAUGGACAACUGGUUGAUAUUCCAGUACCGGUAGUAAUUGUUUGAGCAAUGGAGUGACACAGAAGGGCAGGCAAGCAUGCGAAUGGAAGAGCAUGUGUAAGCGUGUAGGGUGGUGCAUAGGCAAAUCCGUGCACUGAAAGCCUGAGGCGUGAUGCGGAGUGAGCAGAGAUGCGAGCGAAGUUGUUGACCCCACACUGUCGAGAAAAGCUUCUAGUGAGAGAGCUACCGCCCGUACCGUAAACCGACACAGGUAUGCGGGGAGAGAAUCCUAAGGUGCGCGGGAGAACCCUCGUUAAGGAACUCGGCAAAAUGUACCCGUAACUUCGGGAUAAGGGUAGCCACUGUUGUGAAGUCCCAUGCGGAUGGAGCAUAGAGUGGUCGCAGAGAAGAGGCCCAAGCGACUGUUUACCAUAAACACAGGUGCCUGCUAAAGCGAAAGCUGACGUAUAGGUGCUGACACCUGCCCAGUGCCGGAAGGUUAAGGAAGGAUGUUCGGAUUAGUCCAAAGCAUUCGACUGAAGCCCCGGUGAACGGCGGCCGUAACUAUAACGGUCCUAAGGUAGCGAAAUUCCUUGUCGGGUAAGUUCCGACCCGCACGAAAGGUGUAACGAUUUGGGCACUGUCUCAACGAGGGACCCGGUGAAAUUGAAAUACCUGUGAAGAUGCAGGUUACCCGCGACUGGACAGAAAGACCCCAUGGAGCUUUACUGUAACCUGACAUUGGGUUUUGAUACAUUACGUACAGGAUAGGUGGGAGGCAUGGAAAGCUGGACGCUAGUCUG
rnacentral:rRNA from 1 species